rnacentral:tRNA from 1 species
GUAAGCAAAAGGUCUCCGGUUCAAACCCGGAUGGAGGCU